rnacentral:rRNA from 1 species
ACCCAGUCUCGUCAGAUCCCGGAAGUCAAGCAACAUUGGGUCAAGUUAGUAUUUGGAUGGGUGACCGCCUGGGAAUACUUGAUGCUGUAGACAA